rnacentral:miRNA from 1 species
UCUCUGAACACCGACAUGUAG